rnacentral:rRNA from 1 species
CAGCCGCCGCGGGAAAACGAAGGGUGCAAGCGUUACUCGGAAUUACUGGGCGUAAAGCGUGCGUAGGUGGUGGUUUAAGUCCGUUGUGAAAGCCCUGGGCUCAACCUGGGAAUUGCAGUGGAUACUGGGUCACUAGAGUGUGGUAGAGGAUAGUGGAAUUUCCGGUGUAGCAGUGAAAUGCGUAGAGAUCGGAAGGAACAUCUGUGGCGAAGGCGACUAUCUGGGCCAACACUGACACUGAGGCACGAAAGCGUGGGGAGCAAACAGGAUUAGAUACCCCGGUAGUCCCUGUCUCUUAUAC